UCAUUUUUUUUGUUUAUCUUCUGGUGUUAAUGGUGCUUGAUUUUGAUCGCUGCUUGUUGAAUCAGAUCGCUUUUGUUUGAUUUUUGCGUUUCUUUUUCCUUUCUUUCUUGUCUGUUUCGUUUUGAGCGCUGGGAACUUUGAUUGUUCUUCGCUGAUUGAUGAUCAAUCUAUUGAUUUAGUUGUUUUGUUUUGGAUUAGUAUUAUCCGAUUUUUCGAUUCUAUUUGGGGUUUUCCGAUUUGAUAGCUUAGUACAUGUUACAGUAGUUGGGUGAUUCGAGUGUUUGAUUUGUGUAAAUCAAGAAAUCGAGGAUGGAUCUGUGUUCUUCGUGUUUCUCUGAUACAUUCAGCCUCUCACGUUGUUAGAUUGUUGCUUAAGAUGGUUAUAGGGUUGCAUUAGAACAGUGAAUAAUCGUGGAUUGGAGAAUAAUCAUUAUGAUAUUUCUAGAAGUUUCUUAUGUUUUAUAUGAUUGGAUUCGAAUGGAACUUAUAAGGAUUUGUUGUUUCUAUGUCCUCUGGUGGUUAAUUUGUUCAUUAGUGAGAAGAAUUUAUAUGGCCUGUUUUGAGUUUGGUAUAUGAUUGAAUGACUCUCCUUUUGUUUGCAAGUUUUAGUGGACAUUCGAUAUGGUUGAUAACAAGGAUGAAGGAAGCGCCAAGGGCUAUGCUUUCCCUCUCAGGAACCCUAAUGUUACCCUGAAUGAGAGAAAUUUUGCAGCCUUCACUCACCGCCAAGCUGCUGCUCAUCCUUGGAAUGACUUGGAGAUUGGUACGUUAAUCUUGUGAUACAUGAAAUCUUGUAACAUGUAUCCUUGUCUUUAUAGCCGUGUGAUGUGAGUCAAAGCCAUUCAUGUCGCUGUGAUCAAUCAUGUUUGUGUGGAUGACUAAACGUUCAUUCUUUGAUGAGUAUAACUAUGGAGAAGAGUUUGUUCUUCUAGUUACUUUUGCUAAGAACGCUUCCACCAAGAACAUCAAAGAUGCAAUUGAUUCUUUUGCACAGCUAGCUUCAUCUCUUCCAUCAUUAAUUGUCCAGUCCACACAAGGUACCUAUGAAAAAUGAAGAGGAUCUUGUAGUCGAGGCAAAAGAUAAAUGUUGUGGCAAAAGAAAUGCUUGAUAAGAACAUGUUUAUAUUUGGAGCUACUUAUAUUUGAUAAGAAAUGCUUAAAUUUUUUUUUGUGAA